UACGAAGGGGGCUAGCGUUGCUCGGAAUCACUGGGCGUAAAGGGUGCGUAGGCGGGUCUUUAAGUCAGAGGUGAAAUCCUGGAGCUCAACUCCAGAACUGCCUUUGAUACUGAGGAUCUUGAGUUCGGGAGAGGUGAGUGGAACUGCGAGUGUAGAGGUGAAAUUCGUAGAUAUUCGCAAGAACACCAGUGGCGAAGGCGGCUCACUGGCUCGUAACUGACGCUCAGGCGCGACAGCGUGGGGAUCAAACAGG
rnacentral:rRNA from 1 species